rnacentral:lncRNA from 1 species
AACCCCCACAACCAUGACCUUCACCCCAGCACCACUGGAGGAAACGAUUACACGGCCGGAAUUCUGCAAGUGGCCGUGUGAGUGCCCACAAGCCCCACCUCGCUGCCCACUGGGUGUCAGCCUAAUCACAGAUGGCUGUGAAUGCUGUAAGAUAUGUGCCCAGCAGCUUGGGGACAACUGCACAGAGGCUGCCGUCUGUGACCCACACCGGGGCCUCUACUGCGAUUACAGUGGGGACCGCCCGAGUAUCCUGGUGUUUGGAGGAAGACUGUUGCUGUUUACUGGAUCCAUCCUGUAUCUGCCGUCCUUGCUGUUCAUAGAGGCCAUGUUUCUGGGAGUUCACUACCUCCUGCUUCUCACUAUUUAGUCUGAAUCCUCUGAGCAUUGCCUGGCCAAGUCGUGUGAGCCAACAUGAUGGCGAACAAUGGUCUGACAUAUGACAUGACAGCAUCUUCUGAAUGUUCCUCCAAAUCUUAUCAAUACAGAAACUCCUCCCCCAUUAGCAUCCUCCAUAAUUAUUGGUCCAUGUAUCCCCUAAUACAUGGACCAUUCAUAUUCAGUACAGUUCCUAGACCUAACCAACACCUUAGAUUCCCAUGGCAGGGGGUUGUUGACGAGGUUUGUGCACAUAAAUCAAAGUCAGUAAACAAUAUCUGAGCCUC